rnacentral:rRNA from 1 species
CAGCAGCCGCGGUAAAACGUAGGGUGCAAGCGUUAAUCGGAAUUGCUGGGCGUAAAGCGUGCGCAGGCGGUUAUAUAAGUCAGAUGUGAAAUCCCCGGGCUCAACCUGGGAACUGCAUUUGAGACUGUAUGGCUAGAGUGUGUCAGAGGGGGGUAGAAUUCCACGUGUAGCAGUGAAAUGCGUAGAUAUGCGGAGGAACACCGAUGGCGAAGGCAAUCCCCUGGGCCUGCACUGACGCUCAUGCACGAAAGCGUGGGGAGCAAACAGGAUUAGAGACCCCAGUAGUCCCUGUCUCUUAUAC